rnacentral:lncRNA from 1 species
AGAGAGAUCACGUUUUAACACUAUUUACUAUUGAUCCCAAAUGAAUACAACAGAGUAUACGGGUAGACGCUGGAUUGUUCGAGAUUGCCAUGCAAAUGUUACAAUGUGGGGUUCAGCGGUGCUUGGAGAAGCAAGAUCACGUUUGGAAGCAGAAGCUAAAGCCUAAUAAUCAGCAAUGCGAAAUGUAUGGAUAGCGGGUUUUACUAAUGUUUUAUUUGAAGGGGAUUUCAGAGGGUUUACUCCAAGCCAUCAAUGGCAAUAGAUCAGAUAUUUCAAUCCAUAACCUAAUACAAUGUGAAAGACUUCCGUCGUCGCAAUUUCCGUUUGUUAAACGCCAAGCCAAUCAAGCUGCUCACCUGUUGGCUCGGACAGGACCUCAAAAUAAUAUUUUCCAAAAUUGUAAAUUUCACCCUCUUGUUUGGUUAAUCAAUACUUUGUAUUCAGA